AGAGCUUGCUCUCGGGUGANGAGCGGCGGACGGGUGAGUAAUGUCUGGGAAACUGCCUGAUGGAGGGGGAUAACUACUGGAAACGGUAGCUAAUACCGCAUAACGUCGCAAGACCAAAGUGGGGGACCUUCGGGCCUCAUGCCAUCAGAUGUGCCCAGAUGGGAUUAGCUAGUAGGUGGGGUAAUGGCUCACCUAGGCGACGAUCCCUAGCUGGUCUGAGAGGAUGACCAGCCACACUGGAACUGAGACACGGUCCAGACUCCUACGGGAGGCAGCAGUGGGGAAUAUUGCACAAUGGGCGCAAGCCUGAUGCAGCCAUGCCGCGUGUAUGAAGAAGGCCUUCGGGUUGUAAAGUACUUUCAGCGAGGAGGAAGGCNUUAAGGUUAAUAACCUUGGUGAUUGACGUUACUCGCAGAA
rnacentral:rRNA from 1 species